GGGAGGGGCUGCUCUGGUAAACAGGAAACUGAAAGUACUCAGAAAUUUCAGACUCCAUUUUACAGUCACGAAGCAGGAGCAGGAAAAAAAACAGGCUUAAGAUGAGUGAUUUGGAGGAGGAGAAGGACAGAGCAGAGUCUCCAGGAUCCAGCUGCAUGUCUCUGAAGAGUGACUGGUCCAAAGAACCCUCUCCAGCCUUCAGUAUUGACCCGGACACCUCAGAUACAAAAGGUCAGCAGCACAGACAGAAAGCAGGGCCUCCAGGAUCCAGCCGUCUGUCUAUGAGGAGUGACUUGUCCAUAGAACCCCUCCAGCCUUCCAUAUCGACCGUGAACUCUCAAACACAAAAGGUCAGCAGCACAGACAGAAAGCAGGGCCUCCAGGAUCCAGCCGUCUGUCUAUGAGGAGUGACUUGUCCAUAGAACCCCCUCCAGCCUUCCAUAUCGACCGUGAACUCUCAAACACAAAGUUCUGUAGGCAGCACACUUCCACAUACUGCGACCAGUCUCCUAAAUCAGGAGACUCCUCCUGUCUCCAGUGUCAAGAAAGAUCCCCAGUGUGUAGAACCAGAGCUGGACUGCA